AUAAAAAGUCUAGCCUGCUCACUGAUAUAUUUUUUAAGAGCCGCGGUAUUUCUGACUGUGCAAAGGUAGCAUAAUCGUUAGUUUUUUAAUUGAAAUCUUGUAUGAAUGGUUUGACAAGAAAAAAACUGUCUUUAUAAUUAUUAAUUGAAUUUAACUUUUAAGUGAAAAGGCUUAAAUAAAUUAAAAAGACGAUAAGACCCUAUAAAGCUUUAUAUUAAUUUAUUAUUUAAUAAAAUUAUUAAUAUAUAAAUAUUUAGUAAUAAUUGUUAUUUUAUUGGGGUGAUAAUGGUAAAAUGAUUAUUAACUGUUAAUUUUAAUUAGACAAAAAUAAAUGAAUAAUAAAUUUUAUUUAAUAAAUGAUCCUAUUUAUAGAUUUAAAGUUUAAGUUACUUUAGGGAUAACAGCGUAAUUUUUUUUGAGAGUUCAUAUCGAGAAAAAAGUUUGCGACCUCGAUGUUGAAUUAAAAUAUCUGUAUAAUUGUAGCAGUUAUACAAGAAGGUCUGUUCGACCUUUAAAUUUUUACAUGAUUUGAGUUCAAACCGGCGUGAGCCAGGUUGGUUUCUAUCUUUUAAUGAUUAAAAAAUUA
rnacentral:rRNA from 1 species